rnacentral:lncRNA from 1 species
CCCCCCCCCCCCCCCCCUCUCCCCCCGGACGUAGCCGCCACUAUAACAUGUAAUAGAUUACAAAUCGGAUGGGGGUAAGAAUUAAUUUUGUGGUUGCUUGUGUUUGGUAAAGAAAAAAAAAGAAUAUAAUGGUCCUUAAUCACUAGGAAUGCUCCCCCAUCAACCAUCAAGCAGCCGUUCAGAGCUCCAUGUGCAUCUGUUCUGUACAACUAGUUCCAGACUGAUCUCAUGAAUUGACCACCUACCGAUUUGUCCUCAGAUUCCCAUAAAUUUCUCUGCAGAAAUGGUGCUAAAGUCGCAGGAACACACGACAAAUUUGCAUUGUUCCUCGAGUAGCGAUGAUUUCCCUAUGCCAAGAGUGAGCUUAGCUAUUAGACAUCUAAAUUAAGGGUUGUUGUACAUGUAUGUGAAUAAGGGUUAAUAUCAGGCAACACCCAUACAAUAGUUUGUACUUUGUGUCGCAAAAAAAACAUAGAAACACAAGCUAAAUCAUCCUAGAACCACGAGUUCAUGGACCGAUCGAUCUCCCCGGUAAGGGCAAAAGAACAUCAUGACGAAGUCAAGAAACAAGGUGGCGGCCGGCGGCAGCGCCCAGCAGGGCGCUCUAGGCGAGGGCCAGGGCGAGGCGCUCGGCGGUGCGCGCCAGCGACUGGAGGUUGCAGCGCACGAUGGUGUCGACGAACACACGCGUCUCGUCCGCGGUGUUGCCGGGGGGCACGUCCACCACGUACGACUCCACGACGACGGUGCCGCCGGCGCCGGCCUCGGCCUCGUGCACGGUGGUGACGGACCGGUAGUUGGCGAGGCGGUGCUCGCCGCCGACGACGCGGAAGCUGAGCACGCGGCGCUCGUCGUCGAGGAUCUCCAGCCGCUCGCGGCUGCUGGUGGCGGGGAGGCCCGACACGACCCGCACCUCGCGCACCGACCCCACGGCCACAGUGGCUCCGGCUCCGGCUCCGGCGCCGCCGCCGCCGUCGUCCACGAGGCGGCAGCUCCGGAUGAAGUGCUUGUACGCCUGCGGGCGGUCGAAGCGGCGCACCACGGACCAGACGGCCCCGACGGGCGCCGCGAUCGCCUGCACCACCGCCGAGCAGCACUGCCCCGCGCGCGCCGCGUGCUCGUGGUGCCGCGCCACCUCCGCCGGCACCGCCGCGCACGACGCCCCGUGCGACGCCGCUACUAUCGCCGCCUUCGCCCCGCCGCCGGUCACACGGCUGUGCUGCUGCGGCGACGGCCUCGGAGCUGUGUACGGCAUUGCUGCUGCUUUGCUUCCUUGCUUUGCUUUGCUUGCUCCUCUCUCUGUGUGUGCCGCCGGACACAGACACGCCCUGCCCCACGCCUCAACAAGGCUCAAGGUUCUUUGGCUGGGCUCGCUGCUCCACAGAGGAGGAGGACGGACGGACGGCGGCGGCCAAGCGAGGAGGGGAGGGGAUCUGGAAGCUGGUAGAGCUGGAGGACAGAGGCGGUUAUAUACCUGGGACGGGACAAACAACUGGGGUGGUGGUGGUGGUGCCGGUCAUGGUCACUCCCUCCUCGCAACUUGCCAAGGCGGCAGCACACACACACACACUUGCCAUUACUCUACUGUGUGGCCUCUCGCAAGUUGCAGGGACUAGUAGUUUAGGGUCACUUGAGAGAGUUGCUAGUUUUCUUCAGCAGAAAGAUGGCGGUUUGGCUACCGGGCUUGGGGUUUCCAAUGGGUGGAAAGCUGGCCGGAUUAGGGUGGUGGUUGGGGCAAGGGGGGCAGCAGAGGCAGUGGCCAGUUGGUCAAAUUAGAAUUGGAGGAAAGCGACGCGCGCAUGGCAUGCCCAUUGGCGAGGGAAUAAAGAAGAUCGCCCGGGGGGAUCGAUUUAUUUGUUGUUAAGGUUGGUUGAUCUUGUUUAAUGAGCCAACUUGUGGGGGGAGGGAGAAGCAGGUGUAUGUAACAAUCAAUCACGCGGAUUGUCAUUUGUACUGCAUGCGUCCAAAGGGAUUCUUCGAUUUUUCGACCUCUACUCCGUGUGGUGUGUGCCGCGCCAUCCAAAAGAAAAGGAUCCAUGGCACGCACAUGAGGGCAAGGGUAUGGUAAAAAGUUGCCAGACUUGGCAUGGUCGUUCGAUCGGAAGAUUGUUGUUUAGGUCAGUCCGGCCGGCCGCCGGCCACUUGUAGCUCGGCGACGGUAAUGCUCGUCGUUUUUGGCAGAGCUGGUGGUGGGGUGUGGUGGUUCCGCGCCGCGUGAACGAUGCCCCCACCGGAGAACCGGGCGCGAGUGAUCGUUCCAUGAUCCGUCCGUGCGGUUGUCUUCGUCGCGUCUCCCGUGUCCAGCGAGGACUUCUACUGCCCAGGCCUGGGCGCCUGGCUGGACAGCAACCGACCACCUUUUGCAUCGUGCUGUCGUAAGUACAGUAGCUCGCUCCCUCUCCUCUCUCUCUCUGCUCGGCCUCGGCUAUAUGCGUGCGGGGACGUCCGGCUGCGGCCACGGCCCACGGGCCGUCGAGAACGCCAAGACGUUCCAUCUGAUGAUCUGAUUCGGCAAAAGCAGCCAUAAACACUGUACUACUACUAUUUGUCCACUUCAAAAACGCCAGAACGCACAGGGGCCCCGGGGUUUGCUUGGAUCGCGUCAGUUCCGUACUGCUUCGUCCCAAGUGGGAUGAAGGAUUAGGAUUAUUAGUUGGAAAUUUUGUUCUCCUAAGAAUUACUACACCGUGAGAAGGUAAUUUUUAUAGGUAAGAGGAAUAAAAAAUGCUAGAAAUUCAUGUAUAAACUUAGACAACUUGUAGCACAUGGCUGAUCAAAAUUGCAAUUACCUGUAUUUGAUCUUUAACUUGUUUGCCCGAUUGCAACAAGCUUUAGUUAUAAUUUUCUAUCAGCAUUCAUACUCACGUUAGGUUUUGGAUUUUAGCUUAGAUCACGUCUUCGAAUAGUCGUCGUUCGUCGCUUUAUGAGACCACGACUUCAAGUGCUUAAUCGUAGAUCCGCUCUUCAUUUGAGUUGCGUUCUUUCGAGUUAUUGGUUCUAUUUGAUCAUGCUUGCUUUAUGCCUAUAUAGAAGCAUCACAUGCCACAUCGUCAGUGGGAGGGAGAGGUUUUCCAUCAGGUGUAUAUAGUUGGGCCUUGUUUAGUUCCCAGAAAAUUUUGCAAAAUUUUUCACAUUCUCCGUCACAUCGAAUCUUUAGACUUAUGCAUGGAGUAUUAAAUAUAGACGAAAAUAAAAACUAAUUGCACAGUUUGGUCGGAAUGGACGAAACGAAUCUUUUGAGCCUAGUUAGUCCAUGAUUGGACAAUAUUUGUCAAAUACAAACGAAAGUGCUACAGUGUCAAUUUUGCAAAAUUUUUCGGAACUAAACAAGGCCCAUACUCCGUAUUGUUAAUUAUACUCUUCUUGUCUUCUAAGUGCAUUGGUGCAAACACAAUUUAAUGUUUCGGCUUAGUGAUUUAGUGGGGUCCUCGCUGUGGGAUGAGAUAGAAUUCAUAGUGGAGAUUGACUUUCUAAGAUAUAGAUAUAUAGAGUAAGGCCUUGUUUACUUCCUCAAAAAUUUUGCAAAAUUUUUCAGAUUCCCCGUCACAUCGAAUCUUUAUAUGUAUGCAUAGAGUAUUAAAUAUAGAUGAAAAUAAAAAUUAAUUGCACAGUCUGGUCAAAAUUGACGAGACGAAUCUUUUGAGCCUAGUUAGUCCAUAAUUGGACAAUAUUUGUCAAAUACAAACGAAAGUGCUACUAUUUCUAUUUUGCAAAAAUUUUUUGGAAGUAAACAAGGCCUAAGCAAUAUUCUUUUCUAUAACUGGAUAUAUAUUAUAGAGUACCUAAUAAGAGCAGCUCCCACAACAUCUUAAGUACUAGCUCAUAGAAUAUUGUAUAUUCAGGCAGAAGAAGAGAGCAGUGGCAGAGAUUGACAAGAAAACAAGAGGAGGCCAUUAUCACUGAUUUCUUAUUUAAUAUGCAUAUUUAUUAAUUUUAACUAUCAAUUUAAUAGUUACUUAAUAGAAUUUUCAAUUAGCAAGGAGGGGCCAUGGCCCUCUUUGGCAUGCAUGUAGCUCCACCGGUGAGAGAUAAUGGUAAGCUAUCUCUUCGUAAAGAGCUAAGCUCACACACUCUCGUAUGAUUUAUGUGUCUAUAUGUUUACACAUUUUUUCUACAUUAUUAUGCUACUUUAUGUUUAUAUUUUCCUAAGUUCAGAUGAGUUAGCAAGUUGAAUAUAUUGUUUAGGGUGCCUUAUUAUGUUAGAAAAUGAAUAGAAAGAUAAAACAUAACGCUAGAUAAUUUUAUUAGUUGUAAGUAUGACGCAUGAACUUUUAAUGUCUGUUUCUUUUAAAAAUAUAGUGUGUGCUAGAGCACAAGUUCUUUUAAUUAUCUAAGUUUGAAUCUCAGACACGAUAUGGGUACAUUUUCUCUAGUACCAAUUUUGGGGUAAUAAGAAAUUAAAAGAAAAGGAUAUAAGAAAAAGUCUGACCGAUUGAAAAUAGCAGGAGAAGAUCAUGUACAAAAUGGGUUCAAAGAACAUGGAGUCAGAAAUAUCUAGAUCACACGGACUAGCUAACUAAAAAAUAAAUCAGCUGACCCUUUUGUCUUUCUGCCAUUUUUCUUUCCAAAAAAGGUUGCGUCAGAUCAAAACAUUUCGAAGGCAGGUACAAUGGAUGCUUACAACUAAGCGCACAUCAGCCUGAAACAUUAAUUGCUGCAAAUACAAUGUUUUCAGCCAAAACAAUGAUAUCUUGUCGACCCAACAAUGCUACAUUAUUACGUCAGACAAUAAUCGGUUGGGAAAACUCUCAAACAAUUCGGCGAUUUCGUUCUUUAUCUUGUUUUCAGGUUGCAUCCUGAUUGAACUGAUUUCUUUCUCUCUUUUUUUUCAACACUCCCGAAAAGUCAGAAAGCGCUGUGCAAAUGGUUUUAGUUAUACUAAUAGUGAUAACACACUGGACAAUUUUUAAAAUUGGUGGUGAUAUCACAAGGAUUAUAUACAUUAAUUAAUAAUUUCUUAGUCGUAGCUAGCUGAAAGUUUAGACAUGAUCUUCGCGAUGAUAUUUCCUAGUAGACCUCACCUAGCCAUGAUAGGAUCUGCAGGUUGAUGGAGUCGCUGCCUACGUGCGUGAUGCCAUCAGGUCCUGUAACGCUGUUCCAGUGGAAGAGCACACCCAUGGACAAACACAGGGACGUUGACAUGCAUGCCCUGAGAGGCUUAACUAUUUUCUUCCUAAAAAAUCAUACUAGUAAUUAGUAAAGAUUAUUUUUUGUAAAUUACAUAGUGCAAACAUAGAGGUCCGCAAACAUAUGCAUAUCCAUCCCUAUAAAAACACAUGCAAAUUAUACUUCUAAGGGCAUUUCUGAAAGGCAAAGAUUGCAGAUUUCGAAAUUAGAUAACUCGUUGACUCGUUGUUAAGGGACACAUCGCUUAUUACUUAAAAAAAAUAGUGCCGUCAAAUCCUAGAGUAAUUCUAAGAAAACAAGAACACCCAUGCUAAAAAGAGGACCUGAACACAUGUAGGUCGAUUCCAACAAAAAAAUGCAGUUCACAUAAUUGAAUCUUUGGACGCAUACAUUAAACAUUAAAUAUAGAUGAAAAUAAAAUUUAAUUACAUAGUUUGUCUGUAAUUUACGAGAUAAAUCUUUUGAGCCUAGUUAGUCCAUAAUUAAAUAAAAUUUGUCAAAUACAAAUAAUAAUCCUACAGUAGCCAGAACCAAAAUUUUUCAUGAACUGAACAAGGCCUAAGCAUGAUACUGGUGGGGUACAUUUAAGAAGCAGCGCUGACCAAUUACCAUUUUUUUUAGCAACCAUAUUUUGUUUCUAAUUUUUUUGAGCAACCGUGACACUAGUGGGGUACAUUUAAGGAACAGCGCUGAGCUAUUACCUUUUUCUGAGCUGUAUUACCUAAUGAUCUGUUUUGUUUAAGCACUUGCUAAAGUGGCCAGAGAUGGGCCGCAUCAAAUGGGCUUCGAUUCAGCUUAUAUAGAGUUAAUGGUCAAAUGAACCCACGACGGUUUAUGCGCAAAUUGCUGUGCUCUACACAAGCACGACACUUUCUUUUUCUUUUUGUCGUUUUUUUUUUGUAGAAAAAACACAUCCAAGUAUCCAACAGUUUGGAAAUUACCCCUUGAGACCUCGACAGGAAACCUGCCCAAAACGGAACGCGACCGACCAUGCUGCGAUAGCUACAUACAGAGGGGUCGUCGGGUCCAGUCUCGACUCUCGCCAGAGCCGCCUGCACACCGAAAACUAUUUUUUUCCAAGAUUCUUAAUUAUAUCAAAUUUUAUGGCACAUAUAUAGUGCAUUAAAAAUAGAUAAAAAAUAAAAACUAAUUACAUAAUUUACCUGUAAAUCAUGAGAAAAAUCUUUUAAGCCUAGUUACUUUAUGAUUGGACAAUGUUUGUUAAAUAAAAACAAAAUGCUACAGUACUCCAAAAUAAAAAAAAUGGAAAAUGAACAAGGCGAUAGUUUCCAAAAAAAAUUAUAAUUUUUCUUGUAUUUCUCGUCACAUUGAAUUUUGUGACUGUAGAUAAAAAAAUAAUUAAUUAUACAGUUUAUCUGUAAUAUAUAAGACAAAUCUUUUGAGUUUAGUUAAUUUAUAAUUAAAGAAUAUUUAACAAAUAAUAAAGAAGGCCCUCACGAAGAAGAAGCGACGACGCGGGUCGUGGGUCAAAGCGAGCGAUGCAUGGCAUGGUGUUGAUCUGCUGCCUCUGCCCUGCGGGACCACCUCCUUUCUACCUCUUCUCUUCGCGUCGAAGGCUCGCGCUCGUCCGUGGGCCCCACGGCCAGGCUAGUGGCCACGUCAAUCCGCAAGUACGGACGAACCCUUUCUCCACUGCCUUCCCCCGCCUGCCUGGUUGCCUAGCUAUAUAGCUAGCGCUGUUGCCUUGGCCACCAAGUAGGCAAGUGCCUGCCGCGCCUCUCAUUGAUUACUAGCGUGCCCCCUCCUCACCUGCUGCUGACCUUUGAUCGACCAGGAUUUCCCCCGUCUUCCAGCGCAAGCCACACUGGGAGUAGUAUAUUAUAAUAUAAUAAUAGGCACAAGGGGAGGGGCCGCGGCCAGGGGCGGAGAGGGAAGUGGUCGAUCGACGAUUCCACACGGUUCUCCUGCUGAAGAAAGGAGGAGCCAUGGGAGUGGGACUGAAGAGGCAGGAAAUGUGGCGGGCGGCGGCGGCGGCGGCGGCGGCGGCUCCGGCUCCGACGGCGAGGUAAGGCGAACGAUCCCCGGCCGUUGGUUCGCGUUGCUCUUGCUUGUCCUUGGUUCGCGAUCCCCUUUUUUUUUUUUCCGAGGCUGGGUUGCCGAUCGGCCUGGCGCUGGAUUCCCGUUGCGCUUCGAUUUGGCGUCGCCUGCUCUGGUGGGUUUUACUUUGCGGCCCGUCCGAGGGUGGUCUGACCUGAUCAAAAGAUCGGCGCUGCUUGAUUGAGUCCUUGGUGUGCGCAUUGUGCCGUUCUGUUUUCGCUCUGGGGGUUUGGGGCUCGUGGUAUUCGUCGGUAUUCCUCUCCGAUGAUGGAAGGACCUUACUACCUUAGCCUAGUCUAAUCUGAACUAUGUUUGCUGUGGGGCGUAUCUGGAGAACUGUGCGUACAGUUUGAGUACAGAAUUUGAUGGAGGGACAUAGAUUUCUCUGAAGCAGUUUUUUAUUGAGAAAUGGGUGAAUUUUUGACUGGUGAUUCAUAUUCUUAGUGUUCUUACAGUGAAUGUGGAGUCCAUGGUUUUUUAACCCAUUGUCAAUUUUCUAAAAAAAUCAUUCUGCUAGCGAUAUCUGAAAAAAGUUGGAGCAAUGUAGUCUAUUAAAUUUAUAUCAGAUUAUUUAGUAACCCCCCUCUCCCUGAAUUUUGAUGCAUUGUUCACCUGGCAGUAGCAUCUGUGUCAGUAGAGAUUAUAUUCUGUGAAAAAAUAUUUUAGCUUAUAAUUCCAUCGCAUCAGUGUCACUGGAGGUUACAUUAUGUGAGAUAUUUCUGCUUAGUUAAGCAUGUAAAGCUUCAGAUUGAACUCAGUUAAGAACUCUGCUUCUCCUUUGCAAUCCUACUGAUGCUGUUAAGAACUCUGCUUCUCUUUUGCGAUCUUACUGACCCCUGAUGGUUACGCACGAAAACAGAGCAGGUGGUAAAUUCUGCUUCACCUAGGCCAUAUGCAUUUUACAUUGUAAGAAUCCUUAACCAGUCUAUUGAAGCAACAAAGCAAAGCAUAUGUGGCAGGGUCCAAUUGAAUCUUGAUGAUACAUUCCUGCUGAUAAGUUUUUUAUUUCUUUAUGUAACUAAUCAUGUGACAUUGCCAUGGUUAAGUCAUAUUGGUUUGCACUAAUGAUCAGAGAUGUGUAUUGUCGUGCAGCGCAGCAGGAAGGCAGCAAGCCGUCGCCAGCAACAGUGCCACCGCCAAGCCGUUGGCCGAAAGGUUUCGGCCGGCACAGCGAGGGAUGGGUGGCCCAGACAACGCGUGCCACAACUUCCGCGGUGUCCGGCAGCGCCGGUGGGGCAAGUGGGUGGCCGAGAUCCGCGAGCCCAACCGCGGCAAGCGCCACUGGCUGGGCACCUUCGACAACCCCUUCGACGCGGCCGUCGCCUACGACCGGGCGGCCGUGUCCAUCCACGGCGCCCACUACGCGCACCUCAACUUCCCCGCGGACCACGCCGCCGCGGCGCCGGCCCAAUGCCAUCCAUCGUCCUGCUCUGCCGCCGCCACCACCGCCGACGUGUUCCAGGAGCACGAGGCAAAGCCAAGGGUUGCCGCUGCGCUGGGCGGCGGCGCAGUGACCGUCAGCCAGCAGCAGCCGCAGCAGCAGGGCACUCCAUGGAUUUCGCCUGAUGCUCCGUUCGGCGACGACUCUCAUGACAUUGCCAUGUACCUCGAUUUCGAUGCGGUAUCCGACAUGGUGCCCUUCUAUCCUGGCAUCAAGAGAGAGGAUUGCCAGCAUCAGGUAUUCGACGCCAACGCCGUUCACUCGCCGGUGUGGGCGCUGGGUGACUGAAAUGCUAUCUGAGGCAGGGUGAGAUGGAAACUUUGGUGACUUCAGUAGCAUCUGAUGGUUGUGGCAUGAUUAGUAGUGGAAUUUAGCUUUGCUGCUAGUUUCUUUAGAAUUCAGAUUGUUUAGCUAAGCUAGUAAUCAGUAGGAUUGUAGUGAUCUGCUGGUGGAAUGCUGUACAGGCUCAGAGAUCAACCUUUUGUUCCCGAUUACUAUGGAAUUUACUGAUGCACCUCAUGUCGUGAAAUGCUGAUUGGGUAAUUGGUAGGAGUAGUACCUAACAACCUUUUUUGUGGCAUUAGUGUUGGCUGAAUUUUUUUACAUUUGCUCUGAAGCGUGUUUCAAAUCUACUUAUACUCAAAGAACACGGUCACAAUGCUCCAAUCCUACCCUCAAUGGGUUAUGGGUUACCCAAUCCAAUUUUAGAUUUACUAUUCCUGAACUCACGACGCACCCAUAUUUAUCGCAAAACCCAUCUUUAUCGCAAAGUCCAUAAGGUUAGUGCUCCCCAGCCACAGAAAUUGUACCGAACAACCAGAGCUCGAUAAAAUCUCGAGGCUAUGAAGUUUUAAAACUUUUUUUGACAUGUCGAUCAUUCCUCUCCCCUUCUCUGUCUCUCGCUCCACUCCACCGUGCAAACCGCCAUGGAAGACACAGCCUGACGAGAGGGGCGCAGGGCAAGCAUCGGCGCCGGCAGAGACGCAGGGGCGAUGGACGACGGCAUCAACUGCUACGUGGUCCCGCAGACCACGGGCACCGGGCGGAACAUCUUCCAGGGCGGCAGCCCACUGCAGGAGUCGCUGCCGCUGCUCGGCGUGCAGCUCGUCCUCAUCGUCGCCAUCACCCGCGUCCUCUACUUCCUUCUCAAGCCGUUCAAGCAGCCCCGCGUCGUGUCCGAGAUCAUGGCACGUCCAUCCUAGCUCGCACUUUGCAGCGACGACGCCGCCAUGAACGUUCUUCAUCAGCUUGAUUGAAACGUACGUGCUGCUCCGUCUGAUGUGUUUCAGGGCGGCAUCAUACUCGGCCCGUCCAUGCUGUCACGCAGUCCGGCGUUCAAGGAGAUGGUGUUCCCGGCGAGGGGCGACGCGGUGCUGCACACCGUCGCGACGUUCGGGCUCAUGUACGCCAUCUUCCUCAUCGGCGUGCGGAUGGACCCGAAGCUCGUCGUCCGCUCCGGCAAGAAGGGCGUGAUCAUCGGCCUUUCCGGCUUCAUCCUCCCGCUGGCCAUGACCACCGCGGGCUUAUCCGGCGCCGCCAUGGUCUCGGAGCCCGACGUGACGAGGCGUUCCACGUUCCUGUUCGCGCUGGCCACGUCGCUCUCGGUCACGUCCUUCGCGGUGCUGUCGCCGAUCCUGUCGGAGCUCAGCCUCCUCAACUCCGACCUCGGCCGCACCGCCAUGUCGGCCUCGAUGACCACCGACGGCAUCGCGUGGCUCAUCAUGGUGGGGUACAUCCUCGCCGAGGCGUUCCUCGUGUCGGCGGUGACGUCGCUCUGGGCGUUCCUCUCGGUGGCCGCGCUCGGCGCGCUCAUACUGUUCGCCGUGCGCCCGGUCGCGCUCAAGGUGAUCGAGCGCACGCCGCCGGGCAAGCCCGUGGACGAGAACUACGUCUUGUUCUUCCUCCUCAUCGUGCUCCUCGUCGGGUUCUACAGCGACAUCAUCGGCACCAACUCGUUCCACGGCGCGCUGAUGCUGGGGCUGGCAAUCCCCGAUGGACCGCCGCUCGGCACCGCGCUGGGGGAGAAGAUUGACGCCAUGGUGUCCGGCCUGAUUCUGCCUCUCUACUACGCCAUGACCGGGCUCAGCACCGAUGUGUGGUCCCUGCAUUGGGGCAGGCUGCAGCUAGUCGUGCUCCUCGGAUGGUUUGGCAAGCUGGUCGGCGUCAUGGUGCCGUCGCUGUGCCUUGAGAUCCCCCUCCGGGACGCCGUGUCCCUCAGCUUGUUCAUGAGCUCCAAGGGCAUCGUUGAGGUCAUCACCUUCACCUUCUUCCUCACCAACAAGGUGAUCGCCGAAUCAUACAACAGCUCUGCAAAUGGAAGCAUCAAAUGCAGACACUAGUCAGUUCUGCAAGAACUCUUUCAGCGCCCUGGUAUGCUCAUCAAAUUGCUGCAUUUGAUCGGUUCGGUUCGCAGUUGAUCGGCAAGAACUCCUUCAGCGGCCUGAUAUGCUCGUCGGUGGCGAUCACGGCGGUGUCGGUGCCGGUGGCGGGAUUGCUGUACGACCCGGCGCGGCGCUACGCCGUCUACAAGCGGCGCACCCUGCAACACCUCAAGCCGGACGCCGAGCUGCGCAUCCUGGCGUGCCUCCACGACGAGUCCCACGUCCCGGGGACGCUCGCGUUGCUCGAAGCGUCGCACGCCACGCCCCAGACGCCCAUCGGCCUCUACCUCCUGCAGCUCGUCGAGAUCGCCGGCCGCUCCGCGCCGGUGUUCAUCCCGCACAACCCGCGCCGCAACGCGUCUCGGAUCGGCGCGCCCAACGCGCCGUCCACCGACUUCGACCGCAUCAUCAACGCCUUCUUCCGGCACGAGCUCCGGCGACCGGAGGGCGCGGUCUCGGUGCACCCGUUCACCACCAUCUCCCCGUAUUCCUCCAUGCACGACGAGGUGUGCCGCCUCGCCGUCGAGAAGCGCACGUCGCUGAUCCUCCUCCACUACCAUAAGCACCACUUGCUCGCCGGCGGCGUGCGCGCCUCAGUCGGGCUCCGCGUCGUCAACCGCAAGGUGCUGGAGGUCGCGCCGUGCUCGGUCGCGGUGUUCGUCGACCGCAACGCCGGGAACGUGGGGCUGUCCAAUUUCAUUCCGGCCCCGCUACAGGACUACUCAGGCUCUUCCACGGGCAGCAGUGGCCUCUCGAUGAUGAGCGGGCCACAGUUCCACGCCGCGGUGGCGGCGCUCUUCUUCGGCGGCGGCGACGACCGCGAGGCCAUGUCCUACGCGGCGCGCAUGGCGCGCCACCCGGGCGUGACGGUUGCGAUCGUGCGGUUCCUGCCAGCCCGAGGCAUCAAGGACGACCCGGCGGAUCGGCGGGUGGACAACCGCGCCAUCGAGGAGGUGAAGGCGCUCGCGGCGAGGAGCAGGAACAUGCAAGUCCGGGAGGAGCUCGUCGGCGACAUGGAGAAGAUCGUCGGGGUGCUGAGGGGUCUCGACAAGGCCGGCUACGACCUAGUCAUCGUUGGCAUGAGGCACAGGUGGUACCCGGUGAUGCCGGCGAACGGGCUGUCGGACUGGAGCGAGUGCCCCGAGCUUGGCGUCAUCGGCGACCUCCUCGCGUCCUCCGACUUCGACACGCCCUACUCGGUGCUCAUCAUGAAGCAGCAGGACCAGGCUGGCCUGAACGCCGCUGUGCCGGGAGCCCAGGACGAGUGGCACGGUGCACUGCCGCCGGGUCGGCAGCGAACCAUGUCGACGGCGGGAUCUAGCAUGUCCAAGCGAUAGGACCGCGGUAAACAACCCUUAUGUCAUCUUACCUUUGCGUCAUAGAAUUGAUACAUUCACGGAUUGACCCCUCUAGUUUCUAGGACUUGGUUCAAAUAGAUUUUCAGAUUGUUCUUUGGAGAUCCUGUGUACAGUUCAGGAUUAGCAAGGUAGUUAUCAUUCCAGUGAAGAUUUUUACUGUUUCUGUUAACUAUAGUAGCAUGAGCUGCACUGCACAAAUCAUGAAAAAACAUUCCUAGAGGAAACCUGCAUCAGCACCUAUUAUACUUCAUAGAACCCAAUUCGUGGUAAAGAAAAAAACCAUUAACAUAACAUUAGUAAUGCUGGAAGGACAUACAAGGGUGAUGCAGACAUGGAGAAUCCAAAUGCAUCCCGAUAGAAGUUUGACAGUCGGGAUCGUUGUAGUUUAGAAUCAAGGCAUGCUACUGUAUCAACUAAUCAUAAGCAGAAUUUUGUCCUGCUCCUAGUUAUCAACUAAUCGUCCCGAUAGAGUAUGCAAUGCAGCAAUAUAAUACUACAUACAUACCCGAAAAAAUCAAUAAAGAUUUAAAGAUUAACCCAAAUGACAAAAUGACCCUGGAUAUAUCAAACAAGUGACAUUUUGAAAAUUCAUUUUGUCUACAGUUCAUCAGUUGAAUGUACCUAAAGUAAAAUCAGACAGAGAGCCUCCUACGCAUGGCAUACCUCAUUAUUGCCAAAAUGUUUGACCAGUGUCCAAUAACCUUUACCGCAGCAAAACCAUCAUUCCUAUUACAACAGAAACUCAUUGCAAGAUUUUUGCUUGAUUACCUGGACCCCAAACAGUAGAAAGCAUGAGUAAUACUAACCAGUAGAACUUUUGCCGAUAGCACGAUAAAGACCUCAUGUCAACAUUCAUCAUUUUUCUUGACAAUGUAUCUUGUGUUGCUCAUCAUAAAAGUACUGUACAGUGAAAUAUGAAUGAUAACCAGAACCCGCAUGCAGUGAAUGCGUCGGAUUUCAUCAUAGAAGUGGCAAGAAUCCAGAUUAUGUAUGCUACAGUAAAUCCACCCCUGAUUUGCAGGAGCAAUCAGCAUAUAUAGCAAAUCGACCUGACGGCUAAACCUCACUCAGACAAUUGGAUUCUGAUGCCUGCACAGUACACACAGCCUUCCACAGCACUCUACUGAGAGCGGAACUACACACUUUUGAAGCUCUGUAUUUCCUUAUUUAUUUCAUGAUAAAAUAAUUUACAUAUCAUAUCCACAGUAGUCCAGGUCAAUUUUCAUGCAUGAGCUUUCGACACACUAGUAUGAGGGACUAAUUAGAAUGGUGGAACCAUGUGUGACAAAAAGCAGAUAAAAAUCGCCUUAAAAGCCCCCUGUUUCUGGUGGAGGCAUGUUUGAUCUUCUAAAGCGAUAAAAAAACAUGUACUGCUUCAAAACAUUCAUUAUAUAUACCAUUGCAUUGCAUAUCAACAAGAAAGUACCAUGCCCUGGGGGCGACGCCUCAAAAACCAUGGUCAGAGGUCAGUACUGAAAAGUCGGAAGAUCUAGAAUAUUGUUCACUUCUGUAUUAGGGGAACAUCACUCGAUUUCCAGAGUUCACAGUGCUCUAGUAAUUCAAAUAUCAACCGCUAUUGAUGUUAGACAAACUUAGGUUGCUUCUUUUCAACACAACUGACGAAGCACAUAGAUUGAAUAGAAGAGCUUCAACAAACAAGAAAAUGUGAUUCUAUAGGGAGGUAACACCAAGCUAACUUCAUGAAGCAGCAUGAAAGUUUAGCUGUAUUUCUAUGACCUAACCUUCUUGGUUAGUUGGUUCUAAGCCAUUUGAAGACAAACACUGAAAUGUCAUAACUGAACUACACAUAUAUUCAUUCAUUCAUUGGUUGGUUACUCAUAACUUCAGUAGGGUGGUAAAAGUUGCAGAUUAUUAAACAUAGAAACUGAAAUGACAUGUUUUCUCCCACUCUUUCAGAAAGAAAGGAAAGAGCACAGUCAAAUAGCAGUCAGUUGUGCAGGAUAUUUGUGAUUUGUAACAGCACCAGUUACUAGACUAAAGAUCGACCUAUCAUGACCACAGUUAUCAUGAGUGGACAUUUAUGCAUAAUCUAUUCACAGUGAAGCUUUAAUUUUACUUCAUAUAAGCUAGCAGUGAUGAAUUUUCAAAAGGUAUAAUGGGUAACAAGCUUUCUUCAGCCUCACCUGGUGACACAGCAAUUCAUCACUGCUUCCAUAUAUCUAAUAGAUGGAAAUGUUGUGGCCUGCGACUCGGUUUCAUGGUUUGACCUCCAUUUUGAGCUGCAGAUACUCUAGCCAUCAUAGAGUUAGAUCAUCCACAAAGUUAUCACAGGAAAAACUUAGAAGUUCAAAAGGUUGAGCACAAACUUACUGAAUCAAAUAUUGAAAUCCACACAUAAUACUUAAUGGGGUUAAAUUAAAGUAGUGCUCGAAACAGAAAUAGAACCCUAAUAUUGUUACAAAAUAAUCAUGCUACUCAUUGAUACAGACACACCUACACACAUAUACAACAUUUGCCAAACUGAAUAACUUUCUCAUGGAGGACAAAAACAGUGAUGCACAGUUGUAAUUCGAGACAACAGCAUCACCAUAUGUGAGUACAAGACAUUAACCACGAAUGGAGAAUCCAUGAUAGCAUCUUCACAAGUUCAGAAGGGCAGAACCUGCAGUAUAACAGGCUACAAGGCUGCAUAUCAUUUGUCACUUUGCUGCUCCUUCAAACAAGUGCUGGAUAUGGGCUACAACAUCCUCUGGAGUGUAUUUGAUGUACAAAUCACGCCCGGUUUCAGGAGAAGACUUCAACUUGGCAAUUAACGAGGCAUAAACUGGCAUCACUGUCUCCUCCACGGCUGCCCUAAUGUCCACCCUUAGCUGGUCAUCUGCUAUCAUCCAUUUUGACUGUGCUUCAUAGAUCUCCUCGAAGUAUGUAUUAAACAUACGCAGUUUCUGCAGCAUUGCCUUGGCUGGGAGUCCACCAAUGCCUGGACUACCAGUCUGCAGCACAGAUGUAACCUUGCCCCAUGUUGUCCGCUGAUAAUCCAUGCUCCAGCGGCGAACUCUAGUUGUCAUCUGCUUGAUCCACUCAUCACCAAGUAAAACACCCAGCUCACUGUCAUUCACCUUCUGUAUGAUGUACUUGCCAUUAUUCAUCAAGAAGAUAGAAGCAAGAGACGGAUCACGGUAUAUCUUAGACUUCGUAUCCAAAUUCUUUUGAAGAACAUCCAUGAUCCAUGCGAUGUGCACAGCAAGGGAUGAUGUGGGGCGGUCAGGGUCAACAGCCACAGGCGCACCUCCAUUAGCACCAAAGUCACCUUCCAUCACCUCUUCCAAUGUCUGCCUCGACCCACACGCAGCACGGAGAUAGUUCAUAACAUACCGAGUGAUAGGAUGUAUGACGCCACCUUGGGCAGCAACUCGGGCAGGGUCACGGCGGAUGAGAUUUUCCAACUCCAUAAAUAUACCUUUGAUAGAGGACCCCAGUGUGUUGCACAUCGCGGAGACCUCCGCACGGAGUGCAGCAGAGUAUGGGUCAGAGAACACAGGAUCAAGGUCGGGGAGAAUGUCACGCACAGCCUCGUACAUGUCAACGACGCGGAAGAGGCGCUCCGGCGCGCGGCUUGAGGAAGAGAUAGCGUCACCGAACGAUAUGAGCUGCAGAGCCUGGGUACGCACGGCGGCAAUGAAGGCAAGAUCGCCGAAGGGGGCGAGGCCGUCGAAAACACGGUCGCAUAGGCGGCGCUCACUGGGAAUCAGGAUGCGGAACACCAUGUUGAAGGCCGGGAUCCAGCGGGCGAUGUCGAACUCAAGCUCCUCCCAGGGUGAGGCAUGAACCUCCUCGGCGGUGCGGGAGCGGACGCCAAGGCGCGCAACGCUCUCGUCGACAAAGCUGCGGCGCGCCGCGGCGUAGGCCUCAGCGCACUCGCGGCCAAAGCCGGCGUCCACCAUCCUCCUGGCGAUCUGGUGCACGUUGGCGAUGGACCCCGGGGAGAGAGCAUCGAUCACGACGUCAUAGUCCGUCACCGGCUUGGCGAUCGGGAUAGGCUCGUCGCCGUAGCCGUCCCCGCCUCCGAAGUCGUCGUCGUCGUCGUCGCUCCCGUCCGAUCCGAACCCGCCAGGCACCACGGGGGCGGCGUCGUCGGGGCGCUCUAUGAGCGCCCUGAACUCGUCCUCCAGCCGCGCCAUGCACCGGCUGAGCAGCUCGUCGGCGCGGUCGAGCAGGACGCGGUUGGUCCCCGCGGCGUCCAGCUCCUGCACGGUGCCGAUGAGAUCGUCGACCGCCUCCAGGAACGCGUCCGCGUCGGCGGAGUCCGCCCAAAUCAGCCGGUCCAUGGCCACGAACUGCGAGAUCUGGCGGUCGAGCGCGCGCACGGUCCGCUCCAUGGACGUGAUCGGCGGCCUCGGCCCCGCGGCCGACACCGCCGCCGCCGCCACGGGCGGCGGGGGCAGCGGCGGCGACGUCGGCAUCGAGCGCUCCCCUACAAUUCCUCCCCCUCCUCCUCCUCCUCCGCCGCCGCCGCCGCCACCACCGGACGCAGCGGCCGCCGCCGCGGCGGUGCGCGCGGCGUAGAGCUUGUCGAGCGAGAGGCGGCCGUCGUAGUUGGAGAAGACCUUGAGGAUGUCCUCCGUCAUGGUGUCGCUGCUCCCCAGCGUCUGCACGAUGUGCUGCACCGUCGCGAGCAGCUUCUCCUCGCCAUCCUCCGCCAUGGCUCCUGGGUCGGGGGGCGGGGGCGAGACGGCUACUCCCGCGGCCGGAACGGCAUCACCCGGCGCAGGCUGGCUCCGAUCUGGAUGAGGGCUCCACGCGGCUUCUGGAGGUGGUUGUGAGGGGAGUAGACGAGGCGAGGCGAGGGGGGGAGGACUUCUCGCUCGGGAACGCGGUGGCGUCUAGCCGAGAGCGACCGCGCGUGGACCAGCGGCCGCUUGGUAGACUGGUCAGGGUCAGUGGUGACUGGUCCGGGACGGGCAGCGCUCGAGUAGCAGUGCCGGGUGCGCGGCGUAACUUGCGGCGGGCGUUGGAUGGUCCGGUCACGGACGGUCGGAUGCACGGGGGCCCUGCUGACGCUGAUGGUGAAGAAACGGCGUGGCCUCGGGGGAUGCGAAAGGCAAAGGUCGUGCCGUGUCGUGCGUGACAAAUUGACAGCGUCGGCGUGGCACAGCCGCUUGUCUGACAGGUGGGUUUCAGACGGGAAAGGCGGGAACGGCUUUCUCAAAACUCCAAGCUGCUAGACUGCUAGUAGUCCGGCUCCACCACGUUUGGGACGAACGACGUCCCUCCGGGAGAGCGUGCCUGUUUGGUUCCGGUUCAUCUCUAUUCUGCUGUUGUUUAUGAGCAAUUACAGCAGUAUAAGCCUAAAAACAGAGUCCUUAUUUUUUUAUUUAGAGUAAUCUCUUUAUUUUUGGGUGUCGACUUUUCACUUCAAUAGCACCACCAAAUAAAGGACUCUAAAUUCAAAUUAGGAGACAAUGACAUGUUGGAAUCCAUUCAUCAUUGAGUUAAAUCUUUCUUCCUCACAUCCUUCAUACACAGUCUAGGACGCAAAGGAGAUAAGAUAUCUCGAUGCAUUGGGUCAGCGCACGAGUGGCGGGGAAGGGGCUGCACCCAUGUUUGUCAUAUCACAGACUGGUCGUGGGGAAGGGAGGAGUAUUGUCGCUACCGCGCGGCCGCAUGAAGGGUAGGCUCGACGAUUAUGGUUGGGGCUGCUUCCGCACAUCGAGGAGGGGCCACUCUCAGCAGAGGCGACGAGGACGAGGCCUAGUGGUGGAGGUCGGGGGUGGAGGGAGGGAGCACGACAGUGGAGAUUGGCGCUGGAGGGAGGUGUGCGAGCUACGUCUGUACGGUGUGGGGAGGUAAUGGCCAAACCAUGCAGGAUGGGGCUGGGGUGUUGGGCCAUCACGAAUGAAGUUUGCAGGGAAGAUUUGGGUUCCCACCUUAAAAUAGGGGCUCUAAUAGAGCUCUGUUAGAGUAUUAUUUUUAAUAUGGGUACCUAUAUUUAGCUAUGGGGUUCAAUUAGAGGCCCUGCUGAAGUUACUUUUAGGGUCUGGAUCCUGCUAAAAUGCACUACGAUUUCUACAAACGGGAGGGAGCGAGCUAGAAGAGCUUCAAUUUGGUGGCUAUGGCGCUCCGCCAUAGUGCUGCUAUAGGGCUAAAGUCGGAGCCAUCGGAGCUCCACCAAAGAGGCCCAAGGCUUCAUAACAGAACUCGCAAGAUAGAUACUUGCUCUAAAAAAUAGCUUUUAUUUUCACUCGGUAUACAAAGACUUGGGAGAUCAAUUAAGCGUCGUGCUACUGCAGUUGUUGUUGUCACUCGUGAGAGCAAAGAAUAGUAAUAUGGCCGUAACUAUUAGCCGAAUGGGUACAGAGGCUUAGAAAAAGAGAGUAAAUACAAAGAAAUAAAGAAAUAUACUCAUAUACACAUCGAUAUAGGAAAAGCAACCUCGAUGAUUUGUUAUAAGAGAAAAACACUGCUGAAUAGCUGACGGAUUCAACAGACAAGCUCAAACAAACAAGCUCCAUCGAGGGCAUUAGGCCUUGAAGUAGCCACAAAAGACAUUGGCAAUACCCAUUCCAUACAGCAUAAUCGGUGCUCCCUAUGAUUGUGUUGAUCAUCAUGUAUCUUUAAGGAUUUGAUAUCUGAUUGCCAACGCUGAUUUUGAGGACUAUCUCUGGCAAUGGUUGAAGGACAACUCAAUGUAGCUGAUGCUUUGCCACUUCUAAGUCUGCUAUCAAGCAGAAGAAUAGUGCUCUGAAAUGCUUUCAACUCUAUCUAUCUUGAAGAGAUCUCUAGUGAGCAGGUGCACGUAAAAUCUUAUGCCAAAUAAAAAUAUCUUGGAUACCUGUGAGGACAGUUGGAAAAGCACUAGACCAACUAGAUUUUGCACCUCGAACACAUGUACCCGCCAAUGCUGAUUUUGAGGACCAUCUUUGAUGAUUGUUGAAGGAUAACUCGAUGUAGUUGACGCUUUGCCACUUAGAAGUUUGCUAUUAAGCGAAAGAAUAGUGCUCUCAAACGCUUUCAACUUUAUCUAUCUUGAAGAGAUCUCUAAUGAAUAGGUGCACGUAAAAACUUAUACGAGAUCAAAAUUUGUUGGUGUAAGUGCAUUAAGCCACUUAAUGUGUUUUGGAUGAUUGAAUGACAACCAUGAUUAAAGGAACUAAUGAUCUUGCUGAGUGUGUAACAGGGAAAAGCUAUCUCACAGUUAUGUGAUCCAAGUUUACAAAAGCCAAAAUUAUGUAUUGUUGUAUGAAGCAAUCUAGUUCAAGCACAAAACAACAAUGCAAAUGGAAUUAUUGAAAGAGGCUUCUUUAUUGUGAAGAUAGCUAUCACUCAUAUGAAAGCAAAAAUGAAAAGUAUAAAAUUGAUUGGAUGAUUCAAAGCAACAUAUGACUUGAAGACUUGAGAUGGUGAAGAUAGCAAGGAAAGGCUUCGAGGUACUAAGCAAGGGUAAAGGGCAAGCGACGGCUUGACGACCGAAAAACCUAGCUCGGGUGAAGAAGGAAUUACUUGCAUUUAGUUGAGGUACUAAUCAAGCUCUAAGGGUCAUGUUGAUGUGGAGGAUCAAAUCUACUAUUGAAGUAGUUAAUGGAAAUGACUUGGUACAUUUGGAGUCAAAUCUAUCUAUGGAAUGGAACCAAGUCAUGUGCUCAAGAUGGCUAUGCUCAAGAUGAAAACAAGUUUGACAUGAUGACAUCCUCAGCUUAUCAAGAAUUGAAAGAAAGGCUUUGGUUUGAUGGAAGCUUCUCAAGUGGUUUCAAUUUGAUUUAUCUUUUGAUCUUGAGUUGAUAGGAAAGCCGUACUAUUAAGAGGGAUGCAUCAUGAUCAUGGAUUAAUACUCUCUAGUGCUCAAGUCAACCCAUGUGAGGUUUUAGAGAGACUAACCUGAGAGUUGAACUCUUUGUGCACAGGCCGUGCAUACCGGACGCGUUCGGUAUGAGUACUGUUGCGCAUACUGACUUUUUGAGUUGCGGUGACCAGGGAGUUGUUCCAGUGCGCGUCAGCUCUUCCGGUGCUCGUCAGUAGUACUGACUUCUCGGAAGUUCCGACGUAGGCUUCACCGUGGUAGGGAGUAGCAAGCUAACAGGGGUAAGUCUUUUGGCCUCGAUCAUAUCGGACGUGUCCAGUAUGAUACCGGACGCGUCCGGUAUGGCCAACGGCUAGUUAACGGCUAGUUUUGAAAACUGUCUUUAAAUACCCCUCAGCCCUCCUCUUUGAGGGCUGCUGAUUCUACUGGUUUGGUGACACAUUGCUGAGCUUUGCUAACUCUCGACAACCCUCUCUUUGUGAGUGUUUGGUCUAGAUUGACAAAUCCUUCUUGUGGGUUGAAAGAUUUUCGGUUUUGAGAGCAAGCCACCACUUGAGCACUUGAGCAUAUUGUCUAUUUCGUGACUUGCAUUUGUUACUCUUGGACUCUUCAGUCCUAGACGGUUAGGCGUCGCCGGAGAGCACCCAAGUGUUUGUGGUUGCCUCGGAUUGUUUGUGCAGGUCGGAUUUCGCCUCCGCAAGGGAAGAAAUCAUCUAGUGGAAGGAGGAGUUGGAGUUGGAAGAGACUCCGGCUAGAGUUACCUUCGCGGUAUUCUCUAGGGAGGACCUUUGAGCUGGAGUGACCUUAGUGGUAUCCUCUAGGUCAUCGAGUGUCUUACCCGUAGCCCCCUCAACGGAUAUUAGGUCUCUACGGAGACCGAACUUCGGUAAAACAAAUUUUGUGUCUUAUCUCUUGUGUGAGCUUCUCUUCAGGGUUCUAGUAUCAUACAUACUGUGAUUGAGACCCUUGCAGGGAGAGGAAGAAGUUUCACAGCACAAGGAUUGAAUAUCCUCUGCUCGUGAAUUCCGGACGUGUCCGAGUUGGACAGCACAGGACAUCUUAUAUAAAUUGUAUUAUCUGUGUUGGAUACCUUUUUGUAGGGUGUUGUAUUUCUAUACAUCAUCAUAUAAGCUGUGUGUAGGUUUUGGAGGAGCUGAAGAACAGAAACAACUAGGUGUUGUGUGCUCGUGUAUCUCGGACGUGUCCGAGUCGAUACCGGACGCGUCCGGUAUUUGCGAGUUGUCAAUAAUAUUUCUUUCUGUGAUCUAAUCUCUGUGGUGCAGGUGUUAGACUUAUUUAAUAUUGUUUACAACUGUUUCUCUAAUUAUCUUUGUGUGGAGUUUUUCAUUUGCGUGGAAAACUUUAGUUCUAAUCGUUUCCGCAUUUUAAGUUGUAAAUUUUCAGAAACGCCUAUUCACCCCUCUCUAGGCACAUCCUUGGUCCUUUCAGUUGGAUACUUGCGAGGACAGUUGGAAAAGCACUGGACCGACUAAAAUUUGCAUCUCGAACACAUGUACCUACUUUGUCCCUCCCUUGCGGUAAGAGGCCUAAGUUGGACGCGCUUUGGCCAAAGUGGGACCCACUUGGGAGGAACCAAUAUGUGGAGUCGGGAUCCACACAUGAAUGCCACGCGGUGCCACAAAGAUCAAUUGCUUAUUUGGAUCAUCCAAAUAUGCUUUGAGAUUCGUGUUGUUAUGCUUUUAUCUAUUGUUUUUAUAUUUUUUUCCACUGUUUCACACUCUUUCUCCAUUGUUUCACAUAUCUCGAUGCAUAAUAAAUGGUGCGGAGAAGCAAUGUUGUAGACAUAAAAAAACUGCUUUCAAGAAAGAUUGCUCUCGUGAAGGAAUGGACCAAAAGAAAUGCAGCAUAUCGGGCACACCAACCUCAGCUCCCUCAGUCAUCUCCGACGGAUCUGCUCGAAUUGCAACAUGGCGAGCACUGAAUGAGGCAAUGGCAGUGGAGGCAUCCGCAUCCUAGGCCCCUUGAGGAAUAUAAACUCAGGAACUCAAACUAAACCGAUGCAGGCCCACUAGGCCGAAGUGGAGACAAAAUCCACGGUAGACCAAGCCAAUACGAGGCAAAAUCGGCCGACCCCAAGGCAAUGGUAAAAAAAGCCCAACCCGAGAAGAUGAGAGCCUGGUGAGCCGUGAGCGGCGAGGAGUGACUUGGAUUGGAAAAAGGUCCAUUUAGGUCCCUUAACUUCGAUAGAAGUUUGUUUUUUACUCUUGAACUCUGAAACCACGUAAAAUACAUCUUUCAACUUUUAAAACUCUGCACGUUAUAUUAUUGACCUGAUUUUGAAAGUGGUUUUGUCCUUUUAUUUUAUUUAUUUGAGCUGAUUUUUUUGAAAUCAUAGUAAUUUACAUAAAAAUUAUAAAAUAGAAAAUUUAAUUUUGUUGGACUUCAUAUGAGUAGAUCUACACAUUGAAUAUAUAAUGUGAUAUGAUUUAGUAUAGUUUUUCUGCUGUAGCUUUAUAUCUAUGUUUUUUUAAUAAUUAAUUAGAAUAAUUAUAGGUACAGUUUCUAUGAUCCAAUUUUGAUGAAAUUUAUAUGGUGGACUAAUUAUUCUAGUAAAAAUUUAAUACUCACUGGAUCAUGUAUUACUUAGUUAUAGAUUUAUUUAGGUUUAUGUUUGUUAAAUCUUAAUAAAUCUAUAACUAAGUUAUACAUGAUCUAAUGAGUAUUAUAAUUUUAUCACAGUUUUAAACAUAUAAUAAUUAGCACAACAUAAAAAAUUUACCAUAUUGGACUAUAGAUACUGUAGCUAUGAAUUAUUCUAAUUAAUUUUAGAAAAAUAUAGAUCAAAAGUUACAACAAAAACUUUAUACUAAAGCAUACUAUAUUAUAUAUUCAUUGUGUAGAUCUACUUAGGCCCUGUUUAGAUUUGAAAUUUUUUUGGUCAAAGUGGUAAAAUUUUUUGUGGUCAGAACACGCGAAAAAUUUUGGAUGUUUAGUUUGACAAUUUUUUUUUCUGACACAACUUGGGCUGCAUGCAUUUACAGUUGUCAUUGCUGAGCUUCUAUGGGAGUGCGUGCACAGUUGCAGCCCAAAAUUUUUGUUCCAAAAUUUUUUGGCCCCGUUUAGUUCCCAGGCCUCAAUUCCACAAUUUUUUUUCUUUAGGCCAAAAAAAUUUCAAAUCUAAGUAGGCCCUUAUCUAAAGUCCAACAAAAUUAAAUUUUCUAUUUUAUGAAUUUUAUGCGAUUUACUAUAACUUUUUAAAGAUUCGGCCAAGAUAAAUAAUAAAAAAAAAGACAAAGGUGCCUUAAAAAACCGCUCAUAACCAUGUCAAGGACAUAAUAUGUACGGUUUCAAAAAGUUGAAAAAUAGUUUUUUGUCCGAUUUUAAAGUUCAGAGAUGAAAAUAAAAUUUCACGAAAGUUAAGGAAUCUCAAAUGGACAUUUUCUACUUGAUUUAUGGAGGGCCUUCAUUUCGGCGCUGAAGAGGAUGACCAUCCAAAGCCACGCACAACCAAGGAGCGACUUCACUGAGUCACUGGUUUUAGUGAUGUGAUCCACCAACUUAGUCUCGUUGACAUGAAAAUAUGCCUUGCAAAUUAUUUUAAAAAUCAUUUCUUAACCCACAAAACUUGAGAGUCUUAGAUUCCUUUUAAGAAUCUGUUUGACAUAGCUUCUUACAUGCAGCUCCUACACCAACUUCACAAGAGUUAUUUUUUCUCUUUGUUCAUAAAAUGAAGUUGGGGCUAGAAGAAGCUACGAUUUAUGGUUCCUUGGAUUAUGUAGUGAGUCUCUAGGAUUGCAAAGGAGCCCGUCCCAAUGGAGCCUAGUAUGGGUCUGUUUGGUACAGUUCAUAACAAUUUCAUGAGUUGUUGUAAACUGUUUUGUUUUGGCCAAACAUUUAUUUCUAAAACAGUUUCAUUGGUGAAACUUUUUUUCUUCUUCUAUCAUAAAGACAUGAGUUAGAAUGCAACUGAAAAAAGUAACUUGUUAUAACUCUCUUCUUUAUUUCUCUCUUAUGCAUAAAGUAGUUGGUGAAGCUAUUUUAUUAAAAUUUUUUUCUAAAACAGCCCAACUUCAUCUAGAAAUUUGGUUAUGAAACUAUUUUGUAGAGAAGUAGUUUUACUAUUGAAACAGGGACAAACAUUUCUCUAGACUAGAGUACUAGACUAGACACAACGUGACACGUUCCCAACACAUUGUGACAGCCCAACCAGGCAACCACGGAAACUGGCAGGCAACAACACAUCUUUUUCCCUGUUGAAGGCGAACGCAAAACCGCAAAGACAACACAGCACCAGCCACCAGCAACAGCAGCGAGGUUUCCCCCAAUUCCCCAUCUCUCCCGUAGGCCGUAGCAGAGCACGCGCGAUUCUGAAUCCCCCGUCGCCAUGGCCUCCGCACCGACGCCGCCGCCCCUCCUCCCGGUGACCAACCCGGCCCCCGGAUCGUCCCCGGCCACCACCGGAGGCUCCGAUGCGCCGAUCGCCACGCCGGCUUUCCGGCUCUUCCUGAGCCGGCUCUCCGACUCGGCGCGGCGCUCGCUGUCCGAUCGCCGGCCGUGGGGGGAGCUCCUCGACCGCUCGGCGUUCUCGAAGCCGGACUCCGUCUCCGACGCCACCUCCCGCCUGCGCCGCAACCUCGCCUACUUCCGCGUCAACUACGCCGCCGUGGUAGCCUUCGCGCUGGGGGCCUCCCUCCUGGCGCACCCCUUCUCGCUCCUCAUCCUCCUGGGCCUCCUCGCCGCCUGGUGCUUCCUCUACCUCUUCCGCGCCUCCGACCAGCCCGUCGUCCUCUUCGGCCGGACCUUCUCCGACCGCGAGACGCUGCUGGGGCUCGUCGGCGCCUCCUUCGUCCUGCUCUUCUUCACCUCCGUCGCGUCGCUCAUCAUCUCCGGCCUGCUCGUCGGCGGGGCCCUCGUCGCGGCGCACGGCGCGUUCCGGGUGCCCGAGGACCUCUUCCUCGACGAGCCCAACGCGGCCACCGGCAACAGCGCGGCCCAAGGGCUGCUGUCAUUCCUUGGCGCACCCGGAUCUGGGGUUUGAGGCGGCGGACGGCAAGAUCCGGUAGGCUUUUUGGGCUCGACGAGUUCGUAUUAAGCUGGAAAUUGUGUGGAUCUAGUCUUGUAGCAGUAGCUUAUUGCUUCCCCUGUUCCUCUUCGUGUGUACCUUCAGAUCUACUGGCUUAGUGAUGGUUUCGAUUGAUGCACCGGCUUCUGCGCAGAUCAGCAAAUUUAUCGAGAAUUUCACCCUGUGGUUGAGUUUAGUGCCAAGUAUUUGAGUAAUAUGAGUUUGUGGUGUCAGACUUUUAAUAUGGAUUGUAUUGUAUCUUCAUUUCUCACACAGUGAUGAUACGUUAAUAUGCUUCACUCGUUCAGUUGUUCCAUUAGUAUUUCUUUGUGCUAUACUUGAUAUAUGCUUGUGGAAACUUGUGACAAUUUCUGACCAUGAGUGCUGCGGGGUGGCAUGUGGUAUGAUAUAUGUUGUUAGCUACUGUAUGUCUUUGCUUUAAAAUCAUGCUAGAGUAUGAGAAAUUGUUUGAUCAUCUACUAUUGCUUGAACUUUGUCUUGUUAACUGCUGAUGUUGUCUGAAAGAUUUUAAAGAAUGGACAAUCAGUUCCAUAGUAUUUUUGUGAUAGUGCCCUGGUUUUUUCUUUUUAAAAAAAAUUAUAGAAUCCCAUCAUUAGACAAAGAAACACUGGUGUGGCAAUCCUUUUGAGCUGGUCUUUUAUUGAUUCACACCACUAUCAGAUUUUGUUCUAAGUGGGAAAAUUGUUGAAAUUUUAAGAUCAAAACGAGAAAGAUAAUAAACUUUUAGGCCUUGUUUGGAUGUAGUCGGAUUCGCAUCAAUCCACAUGUGUUGGAGUGGAUUGGAGUGGAACACAUGUGGAUUGAGGUGAAUCCGACAACAUCCAAACAAGGCCUUACUGGGAUCGGACCAGUUACUGGUUUCCUGUUUCUGAAAUCUGGUUAUAGCUGUAUACCUGUUAUCUUAUGUUUACUUUCACCGGAGAUGUCCAGGAAACUUUUGACAGAUGGUUUCUGAAAUUAUGAGCUGUAUGUAUAUUAUCUUUUGUUUAUUCUCCUUGGAGUUAUGAACUUGCUAACUUUACUUGGUACUGUCCUUUAUUGUUUAGGGCUUAAGAGAUGAAGGAGCAGUAGUGCAUUACUCAGUUUUUUAUGACCACUUGAUCUUUAGCCCAUAGCAAUUGACAAACAGUUCUAGUUGAUCUCGACUUAUCGCAAAAUAACAGAUUUCUUGUUUCAGAAAAUUACAUCCAGAGUUUAUCAACUAACAUUUUGGUGCCAAGAACCUUGUUAUGGGGUAAAUAUUCCUACCCAUUGUUAUUAAGAUUGGAGUUUCUACUGCAUUUGCAUUUGCAUUUGCAUGGUAGAUUGUCUCACUGUCGGCCUCCAGAUAUAUCAAGGUGGUCUGUAUUUUUCAUGUUGACUAUGCAAGAUACUGAUGACUGGGUUUGCUUAGAUGGAACUGGUGGCGUGUAGUAUCUUGCUAACAGUAUUAUGUUAAGUUUGCUGCUGAAAAUCAUACUACCCGCUGCAAGUAAUUAAUCUGCGGCACAUUGAUAUGAUUUGCAUAAUAUUUAACGAAAGAUGCAAAAUGGCACAAUUUUGCAGCAGCGCUGUCUUGUGAUGUUUGUCGGUAAUGAACACAUUUUUCAGUCAGAAUCAGCAUUACUUUUUAGUCAUGGAAUAGUGUUUUCCUCUGAUAACAUCUCAACAUCAACAUUAAUAGUAGUCGCAGAAACCAUAAGCCGAACAACCCUUUCGCUUAUUGAACGUGACCUCAGUAUGUGAUUUAUGACAAAAUAAUUUUCUGAGCUUGCUUUCUUGCAAGCUUGUGCUCUUUUUGUUUUGGUGGAUACUUGUGCUAUGCUUGGUUUUGGUUAUGCUGGGAACAUGAAUUGUGGUGGUUGUAUAGACAGCAUCUGGAAUAGAGGGUCAAUUUUGAUCGCUUUUACUUUCUCGGUCCCAAUCGUUUUGGUGUAUCUAGUCUAGGUGCGUAUAUUUUGUUAUGCAUCAAUAAUUCAAUCGGAAAUGAUUUAUUACGAGCGUGCAAGCCCUGAAAUUGUGGCAUGCACAUUUCACCCGUUGUUCGAUCAAUCCCGCUCGUGCUCCCACGGUUCGAUCCCGCUUCUGCACCCACCAUCAUUUUAGAAAAAAAGGCACCCAUCGCUAUAGCGGCCCUUUCUCCCACUUAUGCUUGCCAAAGCUGUUUUCGUCUUUCACCUCCCUCCCCCCUCUCUCUCUUACACACACAAACAAAUCUUCGCGUGAGGUUUUCCCGACAGUCGUGGAGCUCCAACUUCGAUGACCUCCUCCUGGCGGUGGCCACCUGCGCCCAUGCCACCACCUAGCCCUAUGUGGUUGCUCCCUCUUUCCCCUUUGCCAUAUCUCUCCUCUCUCUCUCUCUCUGGUGACAUCCUCACUGACGUUGGACGAGCAUCUCCCUCGUGCCCUCCUCCCUGUGUUCGCGCCCCCGUUGCCUCCUACCACCUCCCACGCGCGCGAUCAUGGCUGAUGCAGCGACGUCGGAUCUACCGGAUCCACGGGGCAGGUAGGCCUCUCUUCCUCCUCCUCCUCCUCCUCCUCCUCCUCCUCUCUCUCUCUCUCUCUCUCUCUCUCUCCCCUCUCCUCCUGGAUCUGCUUUCUAGGGUUUCAACGAGAUCUUCCCUAUCUUCCCCAACACUGGUGGACUAUAGAAUGGUUGGUCGGGGGGAGGCAGGUAGACUAAGAGGUGGGAUUGGGAAUGGUCGAUGGGUGGCUUAGGGGAGCGGGCAACGGUAGGGGCGGGCGGGUCAGUUCGGGGCGGGAAGGCUCGCCAGAGCUGGAGAACAUGGCGGCGGUGGGGGAAGGAAAGAGGGUGGCUAUCAUGGGCGCUAGGGCAUGGCAGGGCGGUGGCCGGCGAUAGGGGCGAGGGGUGCCAGGGUUGGGAAGAAAAGAUAAGCUCUGCUUUUUUCUUUUUUUGGCAACCAAAAUAAUUUGUUCCUUGGAGUGUGCAACAGAAAAAUUAGAAUUUCUACAUGCAUACGCUCUAGUAAAGUACUAAUUCUAUAUAUACACAGUGUUUAAAUACACAGUCUAAAUUAUUUAUAUUUUGAAAAAGUAUUAUAAUUUAAUAGUAGCUGCUAGUUUUUUAACUCGGAGGCUCCAACCGGCAACCAAAUAGUUGGCACUAGAGCCGGUUAGCAAUCAUACUCGCCAUCGCCUACUUACCUCGCCAUGGUUAAAAAAGAACACUCGAGUAGUCACCGCAGGACGAGUGUCGUGAUGAGCUGUCGAUGAGGUUAAUCGCUAGAAUAGGAGAGUCAUGGGGGGCUGACGACGAGGGCCACCAUAAGAGAGGAAAGUUGUGUCGGGUUACUAACAAUGGCUGCUAGCUGUGGGACGAUAAGUCUACAUAGUUUAGGCUGUCGAAGGUUGUGUUGUCAUUGGGAGUGAGAUCAGUCGGAGUGAGAACACUGGUGUUGUUGAUGAAGAAAUCAUCAUCUAAUCCGUAUUGAUCUUCACCUAUUUUUUCGUCCAUCUCCUCUUAACUACUUUGAUAUUGUAAAGUUUCCUUCCUAUCUCGUUUGUGACCCGCCAGACUCAUGAUCUAGCAUUGAUGGAUGCUGAAUAUGGAGUCCAAUUCUAAUAUAUAUUGAUUCAUUUGUAUAUAAUUAAAUCGAACCCAUGACCUAUGUUCGUAUAAGUUAAAACAACCUAUGUUAAACAAUGUUACGAAGUCUUAUUCUUAUAUGUAUUAGGGUUCAAUGCAACAUACAAAUACGUUUGCUAGCUUAAUAUUAAAGAGUCAAAAUUCAUAACAUAAAUUUUAUGCGUCCAAUGACAGUACAGAUUCUGAUUUCAGCAUAUAUUGAAACAUAAUCAUGAAACAAAGUAUAUGUUUCGUCGCAACGCAUAAGCAUGUUUGCUAAUAUUACAUUAAUUAAGUAUAAUUAAAUUUAUUAUUGGAUAUAUUUUUAUAAUAUACUAUUUAUACUACUUUUAAAUUUUUAAUUAACUUCAAUCAAACUUAAAUUAAUUUUAACUUGCGACGAGGUAGUAGUAGUAGUACUAUUGUAACUCGAGGCCCCACCUCUCCAAAACGCUCUCCGGCUGUUCCCCUUGCUUACGCAUAAGGCAUAACCGCGGCGGGGACACGCGACAGCAUCCACCUCGCCGCCGCCGCCUCCUUCCUUCCGCCCAUCGAGUCGACCGAUCGAUUGUUCGCGGCCUCCCCCUAGUCAGAUCCCACUCAAUCCCAAGCCCAAACCCUACCCACCCUUCUCAACCAGCGAUGAUGGCAGCGGAGCCCUCGCCGUCGGUUCCCUCCACCGCCGCUGACGACCUCGAAACCCUCGCCCUCGACUCAUCCUCGUCGUCCGCCGCCGCUACCGCCUCCGCCUCUACCGACCCCCUCCUCCGGCCACCUACCUCCCCGACCGCCGCGAGCGACGACCACUUCGUCAUCGACGACUUCCUCGACGAGGACGACUUCUCCACCACACCGUCGCCCAGCGUCGUCCGCCCGCCGCGCGCAGCGCGCGGCGAUGCGGCGUCUCCAGUGUUCGCCAAAAUCACCGUAUCCGAUCCCAAGAAGCACGCGGAGCCCAGCGGCGGGGGUGCCGCCGGUGUGAUCCCGGGGUCCGGCAGCUACUUUUCUUACCUCAUCACCACCCGUUUUGCUGGCGGCGGCGGGGAGGUCCGCGUGCGGCGGCGCUUCCGCGACGUGGUGGCCCUCGCGGACCGCCUUGCCGCAGCCCACCGCGGCCUCUUCGUCCCGGCCCGGCCCGACAAGAGCGUCCUCGAGGGGCAGGUGAUACAGCGCCACGACUUCGUCAGCCAGCGGUGCGCUGCGCUCCAGCGCUACCUCUGCCGCCUUGCCGCGCACCCUAUUGUUGGUCAGAGCCCUGAUCUCCGUACGUUCCUCACGGAGCCUGGUGCCAUCCCUGCCUUCCAAGGUGAGGCGCCGCGGUACUGGACUUCCACGGUGAAUGCUGCUGCUCCGCUGGUGCCAACGAAAGCUGGGAGGGACUUGUUUGGGAUGUUUAAGGGUCUCAAGCAGACGUUGGUGAAUGGGCUGGUUGCAACAAAGCCUCCACCUGUGGAGCAGGAGACAGACACAGAGUUCCUGGCACACAAGGCCAGGUUCGAGGACUUACAGCAGCAGCUCACCACAACAUCGCAGCAGGUAUUGGUCAAUUCACAGAUCUUGUGAAAUAGCUCAGUUGCAUGUGUUCCUCACGAUGCUUCCUCUUUUACAUACAUACAUACAUAUUAUUAUGCGACGAAUACAAAAUUGCUCUGGCCAAUCCUUUAAUUUUUGUAUUUUAUAUAUGCAGGCAGAAGCGCUUGUUAAAGCCCAAGAUGAUCUUAGAGAAACUACAGGUCACUUGGGAAUGACAUUGAUUAAGCUGGCAAAAUUUGAAAGAGAGCAGGCAACAUGUAAUUCCCUAAGAAGACGGGCUGGUGAAAUCCAUAGUUUUGCAAAUUCUGUUUUGAAGAUGAGCAGGUCACAGAUAAAAUUAAACUCUGAAAUUGUGAAACACCUGGUAUGUUAAUAUAUUGUGGACUCAAUACCGGGAAAGUGUUUUUAUCUUUUACUGGAAUUAUCUGACUCACUAACAUUGUUUAUGGCUUUGCAGGGUAGUAUCCAUGAAUACUUGGAGAUGAUGAUAUCAGUUCAUCAUGCGUUUACAGAUCGCUCUAAUGCUUUACAUUACGUGCAAAGCUUGUCAGCAGAUUUGUUUUCCUUGCACACCAGAGCAGGGAGACUUGAAUCUUCAUCAGCAAGAGAUAUGGGGCAUGAGUGGUCAACAUAUCAGAAGGUAGAGGGGUUGAAAGAAACAAUAAGAUCAGCGGAAGCAGCCAAAAGUGAUGCACUUAGAGAAUAUGAAAGCAUUAAGGUAAGUUGCCUGAUUAAAUGUAAAUAAUAAUAUUCCAUCAAAAAAAAACUUAAGGAGCAUGAACUUACCUAGGAAAAUUACCUAAACAUACACCUCAUGGUUUUAGGUGCCGAAGAAGCGUGCACCUCUUAAUUUUUAGCGUUGCAAGUUGAGCCGUGCUUUACUCUUGACACAAAUUAGCACAUCUAGCAAAAUCUGGCAUGAUUAAAUGUUGUUCUUAUGAUUAUUAAAUUUAUAUGCACGGAUCUAUAUAUAGGGAUUAGAAAAACAGAAACCAUGAGGGACAAUUCUAAUUGAAAGAAAAAAACAGAUAGGAACAGACAUCCCCUUGGGGCAAAAGAAACCCUGAAGAAACCUUGAAUCUGAGUAUGACAGAUCAAUACCAAAUCCAAGAAGGCAAGAAGUAAUCUAGGAAAUGUGGCUGCUGAGUGUCUGUGAGCUUGUCAAUUGUUUCUUGCCCUAGUGCAUCUCGCUGUCACCAGUUGUUUGUUCUCACACCCCGCACUGGUUGAUUCUCAUCAUCCGAGUCCCUAGAAGAACCUUGGUUCCCUGCUACAGAAUCACACGUGGAGAGACAUCCUUGUGUGAGGUCUGUGUGCUGUGGUGGGAGCAUGGGGCCUUGUGUGUCUGCAUCAGUGCACACAUGGAGGGUGAGGUUAUGGAGACUGGGCAAUCUUGGAAGAGGCGGCGGAGAUGGGUGAGGGCUCGCCCAGAACGUCGGGUGUCCAAGGGGACAGGACAAUGAGCAGAGAUGGGGAUACCCUCCUCAUAACCUUGUUCUGAUGGGUAUACCCCUUCUCUCAACUGGCAAAGAAUUUUUCCCCAUCCUUGGCCCAUACUACCAGGUGUGGAUUUGGGGAAUGGGUAUGGGUACCAAUGACAACGGCACGAUGCUACCUUCCAAUUAUAUCAUUUUAAAUCUGGCAAUUCUAAUUUCUGAAAGCCUGGAAACUAGAAGGGUGCCUGGGGAUGCUGUAUCCAAAUGGAGUGGUAUUGAGCUUUUUUUUUUCUCUUUUAGCUUGAGCAUAUGUUGUGAGGUUAUUCGACUGAUUCUGAGAACAUUAGGAUAUCAAGUCAUAUUUGUGGAGUUCAGGGUUUGAUAUAGAAAGUUAUACUCCCUCCGUCCGUGAAUACAAGGCGUAACCACUUUUUUGUAUACAAGGCGUGUGCCUGAGGCCAUUAACGCGCAUGCAACAUUUAACGCUGGGUCUGCUAAUCUCCUCGCCUCCUACGCUGCAUGCAGCACACCGUUCUACAGAGCAUUCAUGUUCUCUUUCGCCGGCGUGGAGUGAAUGGGAUGGCGAAUCCUGCAUGCACGCAUGGGCGGCAUUCAAAAUGUUAUCCUCGGAACACACCUAAAUUAAAUUGUUUAUUGGUCUUAGUGCUGAAGGAGUUGCGUCUUCUAUUCACGGAUGAUGGGAGUAGUACUCUAGGGAUGCUAGGUGCCAAUGUGCCAUUAUGGCUGUUACUGAAAUUUGAAACCUUGUUGCCUUUAACAAUGCAGGAAAACAACAAGAUUGAAAUAAAAAGAUUUGACAAGGAAAGACGCCAUGAUCUCAUCGAGAUGCUGAAAGGUUUUGUGGUAACUCAGGUAAGAGGGCUACGUGUCCAGCAAAGAAAGCCAUUUUGAGUACAUUGUACAUUUGCUGACGAAAGAGUUGAAAUAAUCGUGGUUAACUACAUAUUGUUUUGCUCUUCAAUUGUUUAUGCAGGUGUCUUAUUCAGACCAUUUUGCUAAUAUGUGGACAAAGGUAACAGAGGAAACAGAAGUAUAUGCAAACAGGAGCAACUGAUAUACGUAUAGGGAGUGUAGAGUAGUUGAUUUUGAUCUACAUUUAAUUUGCUCCAACAUCCAGCGACUACAACCAUUCUUAUUCUACCCCAGUUUUGCCACAUUGGGUUGGUUGUAGUGCCACAUGAGUUAUGUGCGGUCGUUUAUGUGCAGUCGUGAAAUUGGGUCCCGACAGAUGAGCUUCUUUAAUCCUGUUAGCUUGACUGAUAAUCCAGGGCUAAAAGUACUUUAUGUUGAUUUGUUGUAAGAGAAAAACACUGUUGAAUGACAGAUUCGGCAGAUAAGCCCCAACAAACAAGAAUUUUACACAAGAUUUUUUUGAUGAUAACUUACAGUUAAUGUCCAUGAGCAUCACGCCACGUGUACUUAUCCUGUUGUGUUCCUAUCCUGUGCAGUAAUGCACGGGUGUAUCCUGGCAUACUAGUGCAAAUGGAGAACGAAGCAGCUUUUCAGGUUUCACUGUUUCAGUUUUCCACACAUUGCUGGAUGCUGACAGGGCAAUUCCAGCAGAGCUUGUGGCUGUCGUCUUUUCUUAUCCACACAUCCUUCGCAAUCUGCAUGGAGUACUACCCACCUGUCAAGAACGCUCGGACGUUUCACAUGAAACCUUACGAAUUUGCCUCUCUCUGUCGUUGCCUGUGAAUCGAUUCGCAGUUUAUCGAGACCGCGACACAGAUUUCAAGUUUUCGGCUCUCACGACCAGCAUGGCUCCAAGCAGGCCGCCAGCAAUGCUGUCCCACGCGCCGUCUCGAAGUCCCGCCGCCUUCUUCAAACCGCGCCCCUCCUCUGCCGGCUCCCGCCUCGGCGCCAAACACCUCCCGGUCACCGCCACCGCCUCAACCCGCCGCAGCGUGUCCGCCUCCGCCGCCUCCCGCCGCGGCUUCCUCCUCUUCGUACCCUCGCUCGCCGCCGCAACCGCCGUCCUCCGCCCACUCGCGUCCGCCGCCACCGAGGCCGAUGACGCCGAAAUCCCGGCUCCACGUCCAUCGCCCACCGAAGAAGAGCCCCUGUCCCCGCAACCCGCCGCGGAGGCGGAGGCGGAGGCGGAGACGAAGCCUGAG